rnacentral:snRNA from 1 species
GGAUGUGAGGGCGAUCUGGCUGCGACAUCUGUCACCCCAUUGAUCACCAGGGUUGAAUCGGCUGAUCAGGCUGGCUAGGCGGAUGUUCCCCUCCUCCCUCACCGAUCCAUGUGCGUCCCUCCCGAAGCUGCGCGCUCGGUCGAAGAGGACGACCUUCCCCCAGAGGAGAGGACCGGUCUUCGGUCAAGGGUAUAUGAGUAGCUGCGCUCCCCUGCUAGAACCUCCAAACAAGCUCUCAAAUAGGGCAUUUAAGUUUACAAGUUCUACUGAGUAGCAAUUUAAUCCAGGGCAAUUGAUUGUGCCU